GAAGCAGAGAUUGUGUGUAUCAGAAUUUUGCUUAAUUCUUGCAAUUUAAUCUGAAAGAUUUCUCUGCGAAAUUGAUUUAUCGGUGAAGGUGGGCAGUUGGGUGUCAUAAAUUAAUUGAUUCAAUCAACAAUCAUUUUCUCCACAUUU